rnacentral:rRNA from 1 species
AUUGAACGCUGGCGGCAGGCCUAACACAUGCAAGUCGAGCGGAUGAAGGGAGCUUGCUCCUGGAUUCAGCGGCGGACGGGUGAGUAAUGCCUAGGAAUCUGCCUGGUAGUGGGGGAUAACGUCCGGAAACGGGCGCUAAUACCGCAUACGUCCUGAGGGAGAAAGUGGGGGAUCUUCGGACCUCACGCUAUCAGAUGAGCCUAGGUCGGAUUAGCUAGUUGGUGGGGUAAAGGCCUACCAAGGCGACGAUCCGUAACUGGUCUGAGAGGAUGAUCAGUCACACUGGAACUGAGACACGGUCCAGACUCCUACGGGAGGCAGCAGUGGGGAAUAUUGGACAAUGGGCGAAAGCCUGAUCCAGCCAUGCCGCGUGUGUGAAGAAGGUCUUCGGAUUGUAAAGCACUUUAAGUUGGGAGGAAGGGCAGUAAGUUAAUACCUUGCUGUUUGGACGUUACCAACAGAAGAAGCACCGGCUAACUUCG